CGUGUCUAGAAUGGAGGAGCUCUCGAUGCUGCCUACAGGUCACGUGUCCUUGAGCGACCAUGUGACGUCCUGGUCUCUCGCCGCACGGCCUGCAGGAUGCAGCAGUGUACAGUAUACAAGGAGAUGAGAGUCUCCUCUGUCCUCCAAUCUUUACGUGUAUUAAUGGCACCUGUUUGAACUUAUCAGUAUAAAAGACACCUGUCCACAACCUCAAAUAGUCACACUCCAAACUCUACUAUGGUCAAGACCAAAGAGCUGUUGAAGGACACCAGAAACAAAAUUGUAGACCUGCACCAGGCUGGGAAGACUAAAUCUGCAAAAGGUAAGCAGCUUGGUGUGAAUCAACUGUGGGAGCAAUUAUUCGAAAAUGGAAGACCUACAAGACCACUGAUAAUCUCACUCGAUCUGGGGCUCCACGCAAGUUCUCACCCCGUGGUGUCAAAAUGAUCACAAGAAUGACCUGGUGAAAAUUUUUGGUCCCCUUCCGUUAAAGACAGAAAAACCUACAAUGCUUCCUGAAAUAACUUGAAAUGGACAAAAGAAAUAAUGAUAAAAAAUUUACUGGAAAUAACCUGAUGAAAAUCAGACACUGCUUUUGAAUUCUUGUUCAACAGAAUCAUAAAAAAAAUGAAAAAUUAAAUGAAAUAACGAAAAUGUAUGUAAAUAGGGUUUUCCAAGAGCUUGUUUCAUUCUGACAUAGCAGAGAGCCUUCUACCCUUUCUGGCUCAGAACAUUAC